GAGAUGGCUCAGUGGUUAAGAGCACUGGCUGCUCUUCCAGAGGACCUGGGUUCAAUUCCCAGCUCA
rnacentral:tRNA from 1 species